AAUGGCUUCUGACACUUUAAUGCCAGCAUUUUAAAUGCACACAAAGUAAAGAGAGCAGAAACCCAAAGGGCAACGCUUCUCCUAUUUGCAUUGCAGACUCUCCAGAUGUGUUCUUUUGUGAAAUUCGGCACUGAGCUGAGCUUGUGGACAAGCAUGGUAACUCUAGAAACGAGUAUUACAGAUGGAAGAUGCCCACAUCCCUGGAUCACCCCUUGGAGGGGAGCCAUUCCACGAGGAAUACACGGAGGAGCUGGGCUUAUGAGAGAAAGCGUGCGACACCGUUGUGAUGCUCCAUAAAUUCUGCCGAUGGCAGGGAUGACAUUUCAGUGGUGAACGCUUGUCAAAGAAAUGCUAUGCAAGAGGGAUUUUUAUGGACAGCAGCACAGUAAUGGAAUACAGAUCUGCGAUGCAUCACCAAACAUUGACCUAAAACCUAGCAAGGCUGGGAGAUUAUUGACAAAGCGUGGGCUGCAAAACUUGGAAGAAGCAGGCUACUCUAAAAUGGACAGGUGUCAAGGCCACUCAACAUGUUGGCAUGGCUGAGAAGGUAUGCUACCCAUCCAUCAACCAGCCAAUCAAUAUGUAUUGAAUGCCAGCAAGGAAAAACAUGUAAUGCUAGAUCCUGAUACUACACAGGAAAUUGGUUAUAUCUGUUUUGCAUAUUAUUGAUGUUCACUAAAUGUGGAUUAUUUUCUACUUUUUUGCAAAUUAGGUUACCACUACUAAUAUAUUAUUGUCUUGCUUGGAAGUUUGUAUUUCUCUGAUUGCAAGCUAGGAGGAAAGUAUACUUCCUUUACAAAUUUCUCGACUGUGUUUCAAAUAUAUCCCUGGAGCUCAGAUAUUGCAUAUAAUUAUUAAAUGGUUCACAGUAGAAUAAACCCACUUGCUCUGCUUAAAAGGAAUAAUCCUAAAAAAAUCAAAUUAAGCACAAGGCAAGAAAUUCUAAUAUACAUAUCCCCUAAAAGCAGUUCUGCAUAUGCAUGAAGUUUGCUUUCAUAGACAGUCCUUGGCUGGGAGUUUUGCAUAUGUUCUUGAAAAAAAGUGCACUUGCAGGAAAACAAGUUAACAAAGAAGUACUGAGGGGAUGAUAGGCUCAUUUUUUAAGCAUGAAGAGAGCCCAGAAGAGACACUCGGCUAUUAAAGUUGGUUUCCCAACCAGGAGAACACUUUCCUUGCUUGCUGGAGAGUGCCCCUUGCAGGGCAUUUUAUUUUCUAUUUCCCAUAGCAAUGUGAAGCCCAUGAUGGAGAGCCACUGCAUUUUCCUGCCCAGUUCUAAGCUGCCUGUGAGGCCACCAGUGUGGUUAUUCCACCAACAGCAGCAAGCUCUUUGCUGGUCAACAUCCAUCAGCCCUUUACCGGAGUUUCAGAGUGUGCUGAAACUAGCAUUUCUCAAGAGUCUUCAGUCUGCUGGGCAGAGAUGAAUGUCGGAUUUGUUACCCAUGCCCAGAGGAGAACACCUGAAGAAACUGGCAUGCCUUGGAGGCAACACAGGUGGCCAGAGGCUCAUGCUGGAUUGGCAGUAAGCACAGCUCCUGCCAAAGGCAGGUGCUGGGCUCAAGACUCGCAGAGCCUCCGGGUAACAACGUUCCUUGGGUGCAAUGGGAGAAAAGUCCUCAUCUAUGCCUUGGGUCCAGUUUCUGACCCAAUCACAAAAAUCUCUCUUCCUUUCUCCUAGUGACCUGGAUAAACCUUUCAUGCACACCUCUUCCUUGAAGCCUUCUUAGAAUUC